rnacentral:lncRNA from 1 species
UCAAGUGAUCCUCCCGCUUUGGCCUCCCAAAUUGCUGGGAUUACAGGCAUGAGCCACUGUGCCUGGACAACUAGUGCAUUUUUUAAUACUAGGUUUGAUAAUGAAGUGCAUAGUUGUGGAAAAAUAUGAUUGGAGGACAACACGGUGUGAUCUAAUAGCAAUACGCUGGGGGAAACUUAACAAGGCCUGUCAGUUCAAUUCUUCUUGGUGUCCCUGUGUCUUUGAGGAUAAGGAUGUUCCUAUAAUUCAGAUACAGGCAGGAUACCUCUGGAAGGGGGGGUCUUAUGACCGACUGCAGGGAGGAAGGUCAGAUAAUUCUGUUAUGGCCUACUUCAGGGGUGAAGGCUGAGAGGAAAGUCAGAGAUACCUUCCUGCUUCUGCAGUUUUCUCAAAUGCCAAGGCGCCAUAUUUUGGGAUAGAAUGUAAUGAAGCCCAUCAGAAGUGAAGGGGAAAAGGCACUUAGGUGAAAUCCUUAAGUAGUGUAUUGUAAUUAAUAGCAAGACUCACAUCUGGUUUCUUGACUGUAGCUUUAAUUUUAUUUCCACUAGAAUCUCUUUUAAAUUUAUUGAUGGUUCUAGCCACCCUCCCCACCCACAUGUUUCCUUGUUUGGGGUGUAAUGGAUCAUGGAGCUAGUAAGCUAUAAAGUAGUGAAUUAAAUCCUUACUACCGUAUUCCUCCCAAUUUGAAUUGUGGAAGAAUACAGCAGUCUUUUUUGUACAGAAAGAGACAAAAGGUCAUUUUAAUUUUAAUAACUGGAUAUGGUAGGAGAUGGUUCCUUCUUACUUUCUCACUUUUCUGUAGAAAAACCCAGCAAGCUUAGAGAUCUCUAAGCUCCUCUGGCUUAGAGAUGCCUCCUUCUGAAAGCUUGGCUGGUGUUUAUCUGGGUCGUUAGAGCAGACGUUCACAAAAUGGUCAGUUUUGUAAACUUUAAAAGGGAAAGGUUGAGGAAGUGGAUAUCCAAUCCUAUUGCUUACUGAGGUAUGUAUUCUAAUUGGCUCAGAAUGGAUUAUGUUUUCACCCAAAGACCAUUCUGUAUUUGAGCCAAAGUUUAGUGCUUUAUAAUUGUACUGAGGGUACUAAUCCUUUUUAAAACGAGGAUUUGGUUUUGAUACAUAGAUGACUUAUGUUUCUUACUCCAGCUUUGACCUUUAAUAUUGGCACCUGUUUCUGGUUUCUCCUCUAUAGGGCAGCUCCACUUGGGAAUCCCAUUGACAUCUAAAAGAAGUGUAUUACAGAAUACUCAAUGAAAUAGAAAUUGAUGAGUAUUUUCAAAGCCAACAUUGUACCUAAUGAGGAAAAUUUGGAGACAUCUCCUCUAAAAUCCCUACUACUACUACACAAUUAGAGAAGAGGAAGAAAACAGAGAUAUCAAAGUUAAAAAGGAGGUAAAACCCACGUUUUGCAGAUGAUGUGAUUGCCUACCUGGGAAACCCAAGAGAAUCAACUGAAACAUUACUAUAAAAAAUAACAGAAGUCAGGAGAACAGUGGCAUAUAAAAUAAUAUAUGGAAGCCAAAGGCCUUUAUACAUAGCAAUAACAGCUAGAAGAUAUAAUGAGAAACCAAUUUGUAAUAUAAAAUAUUCCUGAUAAGAUAUAUACAAAACCUACAUACGAAAGACUUUAAAACACAUAUGAAAGACACAAAAGAUGUUUACAAAGGGAAUGAGGUACCAUGUUCUUGGAUAGGAAGAUUUAGCAUGAUAAAGAUUCCAAUUUUUUCUAAAUUAAUAUAUAAAUUUAAUGGGAUCACAAUAAAACACCCUCAGCUUUUCUUGUUUUUCUUUAAA